rnacentral:lncRNA from 1 species
GGUGGAGCUUCCGUCCAGGUGCAGGGACCUGCUCAGAUUCUCUGCCCUAGUACCUUGGAAUAGAGAUGGGGGAGCUUCCUUCUGGGUACUGUGACCGGAUCAGCUUCUCAGCUCUAGGAGUUUGGGAAGGCAUCGGGGGAGCUUCCUUCCUGGAGCAUGGGCCUGCUCAGAUUCUCUGUCCUAGGAGCUUGGGAUGGCAGUGGGGUAGCUUCCUUCUGGGUGCAGGGACCUGCUCAGAUUCUCUGUCCUUUUAUCUUGAGAUGGCGGCGGGGUAGGUUCCUUUGCAGUGCUGGGACCGGCUCAUCUUCUCUGCCCUAGGAGCUUGGGAUGGUGUUGGGGAGCUUCCGUCCAGGUACAGGGAUUGGCUCAGCCUCUCUGCCCUAGGGGCUUGGGAUGACAUCGAGGGAGCUUCCUUCUGGGUACUGUGAUGGCCUCAGCUUCUAUGCCCUAGGAACUUGGAAUGGUGGUGGGCAAGCUUCCUUCUGGGUGCUGUGACCGGCUCAGCUUCUCUGCUCUAGGAGUUUGGGAUGGCAGCCUGGGAGCUUCCUUCUGGGAGCAUGGACCUGCUCAGAUUCUCUGCCCUAGGAGCUUGGGAUGGCAGUGGGGUAGCUUCCUUCUGGGUGCAGGGACCUGCUCAGAUUGUCUGCCCUUGGAUCUUGAGAUGGCGGCAGGGGAGGUUCCUUUGUGGUGCUGGGACCAGGUCAUCUUCUCUGCACUAGGAGCUUGGGAUGGUGUGGGGAGCUUCCAUCCAGGUGCAGGGAAUGGCUCAGCCUCUCUGCCCUAGGGGCUUGGGAUGGUGGUGAGGGAGCUUCCUUCUCGAUACUGUGAUGUCCUCAGCUUCUAUGCCCUAGGAACUUGGAAUGGUGGUGGGUGAGCUUCCUUUGUGGUGCUGGGACCGACUCAUCUUCUCUGCCCUAGGAACUUCGAAUGGUGGUGGGAGAGAUUCUUUCCUUGUGCUGAAACCGGCUCAGCUUCUCUGCCCAAAGAGCUAUGGAUAGCAGUGCAGUGCUUCCUUCUGUGUGCUGCUAUCUCCUCAGAUUCUCUGCCCUAGGAGCUGGGGAUGGCAGCAGGGGAGCUUCCUUCUGCAUGCUGGGACCAGCUCAGCUUCUCUGCCCUAGGAGCUUAGGAUGGUGGUGGGGGAGCUUCCUUCUGGGUACUGCGAUGGGCUGAACUUCUUUGCCUUAGGAGCUUG